rnacentral:rRNA from 1 species
GAGUCUGACCUGCCCAGUGAAAAUUUUUAAACGGCCGCGGUACUCUGACCGUGCGAAGGUAGCAUAAUAAUUUGGUUAUAAUUGAAGUCUAGUAUGAAUGGUUUGACAAGAAUGUUACUGUCUCACUUUGAUUUUUUAGAAUUUUAUUUUUAAGUUAAAAAGCUUAAAUUUAAUUAAUAGACAAGAAGACCCUAUCGAGCUUGAAAAUAAUUAUUAGGAAUAAGAUAUUUAUAUAAUUUAUUCUAAUAAAGAUUUUGGUUGGGGCGACUGAGGAACAUAAAAAGCUUCCUUGAUAAAUUUAUUACUGAUAAGUUUUGAUCCAAAAUAUUUGAUUAAUAGAAUUAGUUACCGUAGGGAUAACAGCAUUAUCUUUUUUGAGAGUCAUAUCGAAAAAAAGGAUUGUGACCUCGAUGUUGGACCAGAAUAUCCUAAAGAUGUAGCAGUCUUUAAGGGUUNGUC